UGAUAGCGUUGAAACGGAGGUUGCUGCGUAUUUUUAUGCAGGUUUUUCGUGGAGCGAAUGUCAAUUAAUAAUAACUGACGGCAA
rnacentral:ncRNA from 1 species